CGGAUGUAGCCAAGUGGAUCAAGGCAGUGGAUUGUGAAUCCACCAUGCUCGAUU
rnacentral:tRNA from 1 species